UUAAGUUAGAAAGGGCGCACGGUGGAUGCCUUGACACUAGGAGUCGAUGAAGGACGGGACUAACGCCGAUAUGCUUCGGGGAGCUGUAAGUAAGCUUUGAUCCGAAGAUUUCCGAAUGGGGAAACCCACCAUACGUAAUGGUAUGGUAUCCUUAUCUGAAUACAUAGGGUAAGGAAGACAGACCCAGGGAACUGAAACAUCUAAGUACCUGGAGGAAGAGAAAGCAAAUGCGAUUUCCUGAGUAGCGGCGAGCGAAACGGAACAUAGCCCAAACCAAGAGGCUUGCCUCUUGGGGUUGUAGGACAUUCUAUACGGAGUUACAAAGGAACGAGGUAGACGAAGCGACCUGGAAAGGUCCGUCGUAGAGGGUAACAACCCCGUAGUCGAAACUUCGUUCUCUCUUGAAUGUAUCCUGAGUACGGCGGAACACGUGAAAUUCCGUCGGAAUCUGGGAGGACCAUCUCCCAAGGCUAAAUACUCCCUAGUGAUCGAUAGUGAACCAGUACCGUGAGGGAAAGGUGAAAAGCACCCCGGAAGGGGAGUGAAAGAGAUCCUGAAACCGUGUGCCUACAAAUAGUCAGAGCCCGUUAACGGGUGAUGGCGUGCCUUUUGUAGAAUGAACCGGCGAGUUACGAUCCCGUGCGAGGUUAAGCUGAAGAGGCGGAGCCGCAGCGAAAGCGAGUCUGAAUAGGGCGUUUAGUACGUGGUCGUAGACCCGAAACCAGGUGAUCUACCCAUGUCCAGGGUGAAGUUCAGGUAACACUGAAUGGAGGCCCGAACCCACGCACGUUGAAAAGUGCGGGGAUGAGGUGUGGGUAGCGGAGAAAUUCCAAUCGAACCUGGAGAUAGCUGGUUCUCCCCGAAAUAGCUUUAGGGCUAGCCUUAAGUGUAAGAGUCUUGGAGGUAGAGCACUGAUUGGACUAGGGGUCCUCAUCGGAUUACCGAAUUCAGUCAAACUCCGAAUGCCAAUGACUUAUCCUUAGGAGUCAGACUGCGAGUGAUAAGAUCCGUAGUCAAAAGGGAAACAGCCCAGACCGCCAGCUAAGGUCCCAAAGUGUGUAUUAAGUGGAAAAGGAUGUGGAGUUGCUUAGACAACUAGGAUGUUGGCUUAGAAGCAGCCACCAUUUAAAGAGUGCGUAAUAGCUCACUAGUCGAGUGACUCUGCGCCGAAAAUGUACCGGGGCUAAAUACACCACCGAAGCUGCGGAUUGAUACCAAUGGUAUCAGUGGUAGGGGAGCGUUCUAAGGACAGUGAAGUCAGACCGUAAGGACUGGUGGAGUGCUUAGAAGUGAGAAUGCCGGUAUGAGUAGCGAAAGACGGGUGAGAAUCCCGUCCACCGAAUGCCUAAGGUUUCCUGAGGAAGGCUCGUCCGCUCAGGGUUAGUCAGGACCUAAGCCGAGGCCGACAGGCGUAGGCGAUGGACAACAGGUUGAUAUUCCUGUACCACCUCUUUAUCGUUUGAGCAAUGGAGGGACGCAGAAGGAUAGAAGAAGCGUGCGAUUGGUUGUGCACGUCCAAGCAGUUAGGCUGAUAAGUAGGCAAAUCCGCUUAUCGUGAAGGCUGAGCUGUGAUGGGGAAGCUCCUUAUGGAGCGAAGUCUUUGAUUCCCCGCUGCCAAGAAAAGCUUCUAGCGAGAUAAAAGGUGCCUGUACCGCAAACCGACACAGGUAGGCGAGGAGAGAAUCCUAAGGUGUGCGAGAGAACUCUGGUUAAGGAACUCGGCAAAAUGACCCCGUAACUUCGGGAGAAGGGGUGCUUUCUUAACGGAAAGCCGCAGUGAAUAGGCCCAAGCGACUGUUUAGCAAAAACACAGCUCUCUGCGAAGCCGUAAGGCGAAGUAUAGGGGGUGACACCUGCCCGGUGCUGGAAGGUUAAGGAGAGGGGUUAGCGUAAGCGAAGCUCUGAACUGAAGCCCCAGUAAACGGCGGCCGUAACUAUAACGGUCCUAAGGUAGCGAAAUUCCUUGUCGGGUAAGUUCCGACCCGCACGAAAGGUGUAACGAUUUGGGCACUGUCUCAACCAGAGACUCGGUGAAAUUAUAGUACCUGUGAAGAUGCAGGUUACCCGCGACAGGACGGAAAGACCCCGUGGAGCUUUACUGUAGCCUGAUAUUGAAUUUUGGUACAGUUUGUACAGGAUAGGCGGGAGCCAUUGAAACCGGAGCGCUAGCUUCGGUGGAGGCGCUGGUGGGAUACCGCCCUGACUGUAUUGAAAUUCUAACCUACGGGUCUUAUCGACCCGGGAGACAGUGUCAGGUGGGCAGUUUGACUGGGGCGGUCGCCUCCUAAAGUGUAACGGAGGCGCCCAAAGGUUCCCUCAGAAUGGUUGGAAAUCAUUCGUAGAGUGCAAAGGCAUAAGGGAGCUUGACUGCGAGACCUACAAGUCGAGCAGGGACGAAAGUCGGGCUUAGUGAUCCGGUGGUUCCGCAUGGAAGGGCCAUCGCUCAACGGAUAAAAGCUACCCCGGGGAUAACAGGCUUAUCUCCCCCAAGAGUCCACAUCGACGGGGAGGUUUGGCACCUCGAUGUCGGCUCAUCGCAUCCUGGGGCUGUAGUCGGUCCCAAGGGUUGGGCUGUUCGCCCAUUAAAGCGGUACGCGAGCUGGGUUCAGAACGUCGUGAGACAGUUCGGUCCCUAUCCGUCGUGGGCGUAGGAAAUUUGAGAGGAGCUGUCCUUAGUACGAGAGGACCGGGAUGGACGCACCGCUGGUGUACCAGUUGUUCUGCCAAGGGCAUAGCUGGGUAGCUAUGUGCGGAAGGGAUAAGUGCUGAAAGCAUCUAAGCAUGAAGCCCCCCUCAAGAUGAGAUUUCCCAUAGCGUAAGCUAGUAAGAUCCCUGAAAGAUGAUCAGGUUGAUAGGUUCGAGGUGGAAGCAUGGUGACAUGUGGAGCUGACGAAUACUAAUAGAUCGAGGACUUAACCAU
rnacentral:rRNA from 5 species